UAAUACCGCAUAUUCUGUGAGCAGGAAAGCAGGGGACCGCAAGGCCUUGCGCUCUUUGAGCGGCCGAUGUCAGAUUAGCUAGUUGGUGAGGUAAAGGCUUACCAAGGCGACGAUCUGUAGCGGGUCUGAGAGGAUGAUCCGCCACACUGGAACUGAGACACGGUCCAGACUCCUACGGGAGGCAGCAGUGGGGAAUUUUGGACAAUGGGGGCAACCCUGAUCCAGCCAUGCCGCGUGAGUGAAGAAGGCCUUCGGGUUGUAAAGCUCUUUCGGCCGGGAAGAAAUCGCAUGGGCCAAUACCCUGUGUGGAUGACGGUACCGGAAUAAGAAGCACCGGCUAACUACGUGCCAGCAGCCGCGGUAAUACGUAGGGUGCGAGCGUUAAUCGGAAUUACUGGGCGUAAAGCGUGCGCAGGCGGUUUUGUAAGACAGGCGUGAAAUCCCCGGGCUUAACCUGGGAACUGCGUUUGUGACUGCAAGGCUAGAGUACGGCAGAGGGGGGUGGAAUUCCACGUGUAGCAGUGAAAUGCGUAGAGAUGCGGAGGAACACCAAUGGCGAAGGCAGCCCCCUGGGUCGAUACUGACGCUCAUGCACGAAAGCGUGGGUAGCAAACAGGAUUAGAUACCCUGGUAGCCCACGCCCUAAACUAUGUCAACUAGGUGUUGGGUGGGUAAAACCAUUUAGUACCGUAGCUAACGCGUGAAGUUGACCGCCUGGGGAGUACGGCCGCAAGGUUAAAACUCAAAGGAAUUGACGGGGACCCGCACAAGCGGUGGAUGAUGUGGAUUAAUUCGAUGCAACGCGAAAAACCUUACCUACCCUUGACAUGCCAGGAACUUGCCAGAGAUGGCUUGGUGCCCGAAAGGGAGCCUGGACACAGGUGCUGCAUGGCUGUCGUCAGCUCGUGUCGUGAGAUGUUGGGUUAAGUCCCGCAACGAGCGCAACCCUUGUCGUUAAUUGCCAUCAUUUAGUUGGGCACUUUAACGAGACUGCCGGUGACAAACCGGAGGAAGGUGGGGAUGACGUCAAGUCCUCAUGGCCCUUAUGGGUAGGGCUUCACACGUCAUACAAUGGUCGGUACAAAGGGUUGCCAAGCCGCGAGGCGGAGCCAAUCCCAGAAAGCCGAUCGUAGUCCGGAUUGCAGGCUGCAACUCGCCUGCAUGAAGUCGGAAUCGCUAGUAAUCGUGGAUCAGCAUGUCACGGUGAAUACGUUCCCGGGUCUUGUACACACCGCCCGUCACACCAUGGGAGCGGGUUCCGCCAGAAGUAGGUAGCCUAACCGCAAGGGGGGCGCUUACCACGGCGGGGUUCGUGACUG
rnacentral:rRNA from 1 species